rnacentral:rRNA from 1 species
AACUGUCUCCCUCCCUAACCUUUUAAACUCCUUUUUACGCGAAGAAGCGUGAAUACAUCAGAAAGACGAGAAGACCCUGUCGAGCUUCAGCCAAUAAGUGAGCCAACAAAACCUAUGUGUUAGCAUCACCCAAAGGCUUUGGUUGGGGUAACCAUGGAGAACACUAAUCCUCCAGAACAAGCAGACGAACUCUCUUCCCUACUAAACGAGCUAAAGAACCAGGAACUGGUAAUCGGAAAAAGUUACCGCAGGGAUAACAGCGUCAUCCCCUUUAAGAGUCCUUAUUGACAAGGGGGUUUGCGACCUCGAUGUUGGAUUGGGGCCCCCUUAGGGUGCAGAAGCUCUAAACGGUUAGACUGUUCGUCUAUUAAAGCCCUACAUGAUCUGAGUUCAAACCGG